ACAAAUAUAUGCAAUCCUCCAAAGUUUGGAAGAACAGCUUGGCACUGCAUCUUUUCAAGGAUAGUACUGAUUGUACGGCAUCGUGUCCAUGAACUUCCAGGGUUCCCAUUAAAAUCUGACAGAACAUCAGAGUACCAGAAGCUUCUCAUAUUGUGGCUCUGGAGGUAUACAUUUUUGGAAGAAUUCAUUUACCUGAGGACGUGUGCAGGAGAAAUAAAGCAUUAAUACAACUG
rnacentral:lncRNA from 1 species